rnacentral:rRNA from 1 species
AUUGAACGCUGGCGGCAGGCCUAACACAUGCAAGUCGAGCGAGCGGCGGACGGGUGAGUAAUGUCCGGGAAACUGCCUGUUGGAGGGGGCUAACUGCUGGAAACGGUAGCUAAUACCGCAUACCAUCAGAUGUGCCCCGAUGGGAUUAGCUAGUAGGGGGGGUAACGGCUCACCUAGGCGACGCUCCCUAGCUGGGCUGAGAGGAUGACCAGCCACACUGGAACGGAUACACGGUCCAGACUCCUACGGGAGGCAGCAGUGGGGAAUAUUGGACAAUGGGCGAAAGCCUGAUGCAGCCAUGCCGCGUGUGUGAAGAAGGCCUUCGGGUUGUAAAGCACUUUCAGCGGGGAGGCGUUACCCGCAGAAGAAGCACCGGCUAACUCCGUGCCAGCAGCCGCGGUAAUAC